rnacentral:rRNA from 1 species
GACGAACGCUGGCGGCGUGCCUAAUACAUGCAAGUUGAGCGCUGAAGGUUGGUACUUGUACCCACUGGAUGAGCAGCGAACGGGUGAGUAACGCGUGGGGAAUCUGCCUUUGAGCGGGGGACAACAUUUGGAAACGAAUGCUAAUACCGCAUAAAAACUUUACACACAAGUUUUAAGUUUGAAAGAUGCAAUUGCAUCACUCAAAGAUGAUCCCGCGUUGUAUUAGCUAGUUGGUGAGGUAAAGGCUCACCAAGGCGAUGAUACAUAGCCGACCUGAGAGGGGGAUCGGCCACAUUGGGACUGAGACACGGCCCAAACUCCUACGGGAGGCAGCAGUAGGGAAUCUUCGGCAAUGGACGAAAGUCUGACCGGGCAACGCCGCGUGAGUGAAGAAGGUUUUCGGAUCGUAAAACUCUGUUGGUAGAGAAGAACGUUGGUGGGAAUGGAAAGCGCAUCAAGUGACGGUAACUACCCAGAAAGGGACGGCUAACUACGUG